AGAAUCAACGCUGGCGGCGUGCCUCAGACAUGCAAGUCGAACGAUUAAACUUUCCUUCGGGAAAGAUAUAAAGUGGCGCACGGGUGAGUAACACGUAAGUAAUCUACCUCGGGGUGGGGAAUAACGUUCGGAAACGAACGCUAAUACCGCAUAAUGCAGCGGCUUCUUAUGAAGACAGUUGUUAAAGCAUUUAUGUGCCUGGAGAGGAGCUUGCGGCAGAUUAGCUAGUUGGUAAGGUAAUGGCUUACCAAGGCGACGAUCUGUAGCCGACCUGAGAGGGUGGUCGGUCACACUGACACUGAAUAACGGGUCAGACUCCUACGGGAGGCAGCAGUCGGGAAUUUUGGGCAAUGGGCGAAAGCCUGACCCAGCAACGCCGCGUGAAGGAUGAAGUAUUUCGGUAUGUAAACUUCGUAAAAAUGGGAAGAAUAAAUGACGGUACCAUUUGUAAGGUCCGGCUAACUACGCGCCAGCAGCCGC
rnacentral:rRNA from 1 species